rnacentral:rRNA from 1 species
GACGAACGCUGGCGGCGUGCUUAACACAUGCAAGUCGAACGGUAAGGCCCUUCGGGGUACACGAGUGGCGAACGGGUGAGUAACACGUGGGUGAUCUGCCCUGCACUUCGGGAUAAGCCUGGGAAACUGGGUCUAAUACCGGAUAGGACCAUGGACUUCACGGUUUGUGGUGGAAAGCUUUUGCGGUGUGGGAUGGGCCCGCGGCCUAUCAGCUUGUUGGUGGGGUAAUGGCCUACCAAGGCGACGACGGGUAGCCGGCCUGAGAGGGUGUCCGGCCACACUGGGACUGAGAUACGGCCCAGACUCCUACGGGAGGCAGCAGUGGGGAAUAUUGCACAAUGGGCGCAAGCCUGAUGCAGCGACGCCGCGUGAGGGAUGACGGCCUCGGUUGUAACCUCUUUCAAUAGGACGAAGCGCAAGUGACGGUACCUAUAGAAGAAGCACCGGCCAACUACGUGCCAGCAGCCGCGGUAAU